UGAAUAAAGUUUAAUGACAAAUUAUUGAAUAUUCUGUAUUUUUAAGGAAAUCUAAUGUCAGAUAUUUAUCCCAUGUAAGUUUAUAGUAGUCACAAGUUUUUGAUACGUUUGGAUCCUACCUUCAUAAUUGUGGAUGUAGCUUGAAACAUAUAGUUUGAAGUCCUCCUCCUUUUUAGCUUGUGAAGUUAGCCAAAAUGUUUGAAUAAUGCGACUUGUGUCAUUUAUUGUAAUUCUGGGCACAUCUUGUCUUGAAAGACAGUGUCUCAUUAUCUGAGAGAAUGGGCCUGAAGGCCUCCUCAGCAGUAACCAAGCCUCUCAUGAACAAAAAAUUUAAAAAACUAGACUAUCCUUUGCUGAGAAGCAUGCUUUAUGGACCUAUGUUUGGCAUCUAACUGAGAAAAGACUGAACCCAAAAUGUUUGAAGAAGUCAAUGAAGUCUAAAGGAGGAAGCACCAUAAUGUGGGGAAGUUCUGUGCUGCAGGAGGAGCAUCUCUCAUACAGCUACAUGGUAAGGUGAAUGCUAGUGUGUAUCAGAACCUCCUUUAACAACAUGCGGUUCCAUCCCUGCGAGCAUCACUCAAUCAGUCAGCCAUUUUUAUGCAUGGCAAUGCCCCUUGCCACAAUGCAAAUGACGGCUUAUGUAUGAUACAUUAGCUUUUACCAGAGGUGUAGGAAAGGGAUCCAAAGAACAUGUUGAGGGCCUCAUCCUCUGGAUGAUCCCCUGAACUUCUUUACCUGUAGUACAGAGGAACUAAGGAAACUGGGAAGGGGUGACUGUUACAAAACUUCCCAAUAAAUUAAAUGAUUGAAUAAUCUGUAGUUAUACUGUAUCAUUCAUACAAUACAAACAAUUCUUAGCACAGAGUACAUAAUUUAUGAAAGAAAGAAACUUUAUUUGUCCCCAAGGGGAAAUUUGCCUUUUUACAGAAGCUCUUUAAAUAAAUAAAUAUAAUUUAUGAAGGACUAGAAACAGAUUGAACAAGUAAUAAAGAACACCACAAAGUUGGUCAGCACAACCCUUAAGAACUCGAGAACUCACUCCAUCUGGUCCCACAGCUUUUCCUAUGUGUAGCAUCCAUAGUUGUCUCAUUACUCUGUCUUCAGCUAUGGACAGUCCACACUGAUAGUCAGAGUUG